CAGUCGUACCUGCGGGUAAUCAGCCUUUUGGGCAUGAUUCUGUGGAGCGUGAGGAGUUAAACGCCUUCAUGCCUGCAUAUUCGUGUACUUUGGGUGUACUUGCCUGUGUGGUUAGUUAACAUCAAUUUUGGUAUCAUAAAAUGAUUGGAGGAAUGUAGCUUUGAUCUCGUAUCGAAGUGUUAUAGCCUCUGGUAGAUGUGACGAUUGGGAUUGGAGGAUUGCAACGGAUACCCCGUCGGGGCUACCCGUCUGAUCUCUGAAGGUUGCGUCCGGUGGC
rnacentral:rRNA from 1 species